rnacentral:lncRNA from 1 species
GACGCCGGGGCCCGCCAUCCCCAACGUCCACCGCGAGCUCCCCAGAUCCAUGGUCUGGAGCAGGUCCAGAAGACGCACCUGGCAGGACGCCCCGGGCGCCACAGUCGCCCUCCACACGGGCCACCCCAAUCCUGCCGCGGCUCCGUGGCUCUCCUUACCUUUACCUGAGGUGAAGCAAGGACGUGGAAGCAGCUACGGCGCGCUACCAAGCACCUCACACCGCUCUCAACAGUACUGCUCAGCCUCCCGGCCCGCCGAUGCGCAGGCGACAGCAGCCAACUUGAUGCUCUUCACUUCUUACAAAUUGGCAUGCCAGGCUGCUGCUCAGGUAAUCUGCCUCUUGGACCGGCUCUGAAAAUGGGACAAUGAUCAGUGCAAGAUCCCUGAGAUGCUGAGACACGAUGGGAUGGAAGAAAGCUAUGGGACAAGUGGCCUUUCAUAGGAGGAGGAGCUCCUUGUCAAAUGUGAGGAGCGAAGCAGGACAGGAGCAUGAGAACAGGAAGCCAGAAGUUAUGGGGACACUCAAGCAGCACUAGGGAGAGGCUCAUGAGUAGAAGAACUGAGGCAUCCUGCAAACAGCCAUGGACUAACCUGUAUUGGGAGCAGAUUCUCCAGCUCCACGUCUGUUCCUUAGUCUCUGUUGAGGUGAAACUCCAAUAUCUGAACCCACCAGCCAAAUAAGCAACCUGUGUACAAGCCAAGUUAAAAUUUCACUCCCGUAAUGGAUGAGGAGAAACCAGAAGACAUUUCUCAUGCACAGGGAGUGCAUGAAUCCCCUGAAUUGCCAGGUUUCAGGGUCACAUGAGACCUCUAGAAGGCUCUGCUCAUCAUCACCUUAUCAUCUGGUGAUAUACCUAUUCUAACGAAGGAGGGAGAGGAGUAAUGCACAAGAAACUCAGGCCAAUGGGGGAGCAAGAAGAAAACGAAGAAGUGCAGUGCAUGCGUCAUCGGUGUUUAACAGUCAGAAGCGAAACAGUUCAGAACAAGGCCUGCCCUGUCAAAAGAAGAGCUAAAGACAGUUAUAUAAAAAUUAAGGUGGCAGCAUCUCGGUCACUUACCACAAGGAAACAAUGAGUUUCAAACUACUUCUAUACAUCAAAAGAGUACAUGGAUAAAAUAUAGAGAUAUACAGACAAUUGAUGAACAUAAACUACUAGGAUAACUCAAUCUCAGUGUGACUACUGAUCCGCCGCCACGUGGCUUCCCGGACACACUGCUGCAGCGCCAACAGUGGAGAGGAGCUCUCCAUCACAACCAGACAGCAGAAGCACAGCACAGUGAAGCACACCUGCCCACAUGAUGCACAAUACAGGUAUUCAUUUACAACAGAUAGAUUUUAUGCCCUGUACAGGUAUGAACACAGUGAAGAUUUGACGAUGGUCUCUCUUUCAGCUGAACUCUGGAGUUUUAAUUACUGACAUUUUCUUGGAAGAAAUUAUCCUUUGUGGUUUUAAAACAUGUGGGCUUUUUUUUUUGUUGCUCAAGUCACAUGUUCUAACAAGACAGUUUUAAUAAGCCAGUUUGACUAGAUGUAAAGUACUUGGAUUAAAGUGAUAAUCUUACUUUGUGGCCUAUAAAUUAACACAUCUGAAUUUCUUUUUAAGAAUUCAGAAACCAGUAACUUCCAAACAACUUGAAAUUGAAUAAAUAUUUUCAGCAACCCAGGGGUGAACUAAAUGCAACAGAUUAUUCAACUUUAAAAAGUCUUACUUACUGUACAGAUUUUCCAUAUUAAACAUCUGGUAUGCCUCAAUUUUUUACUUAAAAGUCUCGGACUUUGAGAGCAUACAGCAUUUUUUGCACAUAUAUAACCAUGAUGUACUUUAAUAUUCCAAUCUUAGGUUGUGAUUUUAGAGGUUGUUUUGGUAUCAUUAAAUACCAAUGGGACCAAACCAGAAAAUUAAAUAAAAAUAUAAUUCACCACUCACACACCCUUAAGGGUCUAGAUUCAAUUUCCAAAAGCAUAAUAUUGGGUAGUUACUUGCAGUUGUGAAAAUAAUUUCAAUCUUGGAAUCUUGGUACACAGUCCCAAAAUUUAAAAAAAAAAAAAAAAAAAGGAAAUCCACUGUAAUCCCAGUGUCUUUAAAAUAAUGCUGCCAGCCCGACCCCACCUCACCCCACAGUCAACCAGUUACCAUGGUUCAGGAUAGGACAAACUUAGGUUUUGGACAAAUGAAGAGUUCAAUGGCUGUUAAUUGUCACAGGCAAGAAAAGAAGGAAAACCAAAAGUUGAUAAAUGUUAACUCAACAAUUAUAGUCUUUACACAGCUUGCCUUAAAACUGCUCCAGUUCAGACUUACUCUGUUCAAAAGUGAAUAUACAGAACGUUAGUGUAUCUCUCUAUUUAAAUCUCAGUCUCAGUACUAAUCUUCUACCUCCAUGAAACAUACACAACAAAACAAAAGGAAGAGCUAGGGAUUUGGGAAGAGGCACUUCCAGAAAAAAAGAAAGUGACGAUUAUUUCAGAUUUGAAUUUACCAUUUUUACCAUUUUUUCUGUUUCAAGGUCCCAGAUAAUAUACAUUUCUUCAUUAAUUAUUCAUUUUCUGAGUGCCUACUAUGGCUGGAGUACUCUAUUCGAUUUCAAGCUUAGAGAGAGAUUGAAACAGAAACAGUAACAGUCCCUGCCCAUCUCACCCUUCAUUAACUUGCUGUGUGGAAGACAAGCAUACAGACUGGACCCUCAUGAGGCAAUGGUAGUAGGGCCCACAGGGAGGUGUGCUACUGAAGCACCCUGAGGGCCUGGAGCCCACCAUGCCCGUGGAGAGAGGUGCUCCUGAGGAGACAGAGUUCUGUGCGUUCUCCCUAUGGAGUCCUGCAUUUACUAGAUUUCAAUCCUCUUCCCCUGACUGAUUUCAAUCCACACACCCUCCCACUAUUUUUUUUUUUUUUAAAUAAUAAUAGGCUUUCUGCCCCAACUAAAGGAAUUUUAGGCUUCUGCAACAAGUGGAGGAGGCAUUUUGAAGAUGGGACACAAAGAAGUCUUCUUUCUCCAGAUCCAGAAGUCAGGCCUUGUAAGAAUUCAAGCCAAAAAAAGUUCAUCCAUGGGAAAAACGGUUCUUCUAUCAUCCAGCACGUAUUUGUGCCAACAGAGCUGAGGGACUUGAGUAAUUCAAGAGGCUAGGGGUUGGGGGGCAGAUGUGUCCAGUGGCUCCCACAGCCCCGCCGUCCUGAAAGUCACGCCAGUUAAUGUGCCUCGGGGUGGAUCAGCCCUCCCGACAGAUGACUACUAGGAAAUUAAUCCCCAGUUAAUAAUGUGCUUUGGACCAAGUAAGUCAAGAUUAUUUUUCCUACAAUUAUACAAAGAUAUGCUUUUCCAGAAGGGAACUUCUGGAAAAAGAACAAAUAACACUAUGCUUAAAAUAUUAUUCACAUAUUUAGAGAAGAAAGAACUUAAAAUAGCAGAAGACCUGAAUACCAUGAUCCACGGUGCCCACCCCUGGGAGCAUGUCUUUGUGUGAGACAAGACCUAGCACAGCAGGGCUGGCUUUCUAAGGGUACGGUGAGGCACCACUGAACUCAUCAAGGAACUAUGCCUAGUCUUGCCCCUCUGGUUUAUGUCACCAGUAUCAAAGAGAGAGGACCUCUGGAUGCCUGAAUGAGGCAAGAACUAAUGUGAAGGCCUCAGCUGCCUUAAGAGAAUUAUGCCCUGAUCUGGCACAGUGACGAAUGUCUGUGGUUAUACUGCUCGUGCCGCUGGUGUGCUGCUGGUGAGGUGGUGGGGUGUGGGUGUCUUUUAAGGAAAGCGCUACUAUUUUAGCUCUCUUCCACUCCAGCUCUACAAAUCAGUGCAAGUCUAGUUCAGGCAGGGUCAAACCAUUUUGUUCACCUACUUUCCUGCCAGUGAUUUCAACCUUGACCUUCAAAAAUGCUCUGCAAGAUUAAAAGUGAUUUAAGAUUGUUUUCUUUCAGUGCAAACUGCCAGUUGAUACAACCUCUUCAGUUUCUGCCUGCCAGUAUAAGAUAGGGAAUUGUUGAUACUAUUUAGUGUAAAUAAAAUAAUUUCUUAAACAUUGAAAUACCAGUAACAGCUGGGGGAGGACUCACCGUUAGUCAAUUACACUUAUGAAACUUUCAAAUAGAAAUUUUAUUUUCAGUGGAUUCUGUUUUUCUUUCUUAACUGCAAAAUCAGCAAGUCAUUGGUUAAAAAGUAUACUCUCCCCGCUUGAAGUCAAACAAGUAUUCACCCUAAGAGGCAAAGUCCAGUAUCUACAGUAAAAACUGGCCUGACCUUUGGUAUUCCGCAAGGGCCUGAACUUCCAUUCCAUUCCCAGUGCUGGAUGUGGAGAAUGGGUGAUCCCAAGCAACAAUCAUUUGCCUUUCUGUCAAAAGCUGUCUCGGUUUAAAUGUACUGUAUUUUCUUUGCCUCUUCUUCUCAUCGGAACAUGUUCUAGUCUACUCGCCAGGUGCUACUUCUGGCAGUCAGAAAUAGUGCCACUUUUCAACUUCAAGUUUCUUACCAACCUUUUUUGCAUUCAUGCAGCAAGAGUUCAUGAAAUAGCUGCAAAGUGCUGGACACUGUUAGGUUGUGGGAAUUGCAAGAGAAACAGAGUUUCUGCCUUCUAGAUGCUCACGUCUGGGGGUGGGGCAGGUACAGCAGGGGUGAUCAAUCCACAAAAAUUUACUUUUAAAAAUGUGUUAUGGGCUGACUUGUAUCACCUCAAAAUUCAUAUGGGGAAGUCCUAACCACCAAUACCUCAGAAUGUGAUUGUAUUUGGAAACAGGAUCUUUGCAGAGGCAAUUAAGUUAAAAUAAGGACAUCAUCAGGGUGGGCCCUAAUCUCAAGUGACCCAUGUCCUUCUAAGAAGAGAUUAGGACACAGAUACACAGAGGAAAGACCAUAUGAAGACACAGGGAGAAGACAGCCAUCUACAAGCCCAGAAGGGAGGCCUCAGAAGAAACCAACCCUGCCAACAUCUUGAUCUCAGACUUCCAGCGUCCAGAUUGUUAGAAAAUAAAUUUCUGUUGUGUAAGCUGCCCAGUCUGUGGCACUUUGUUAUGGCAGCCCUCGCAAACUAAACACAGUGUGCUUUUUAAGGGCAACAACAAAAAAGAAAUAUAUAGGUUAAGUCAAAUGUAAUAGCUGCUGGAACAUCUAUCAACAGACUAAACAACAAACAAAACCAACAUUUAGCAUAAUAUCCAGUAGUGCUGUCAACAAAGGAAAUGGGGGUGGCAGUGAGCACAUCUGGGAGGGCAUUUGAUGGCUGUCAGAAUCAGCCAAGGAAGAUGAUAGAAGGGUGAGGGAUAAGUGCAGAAUAAGCUCCAUGCAGGCAAGUGGCCCUGUAGCCAGGUCUCCCUGCAGCUCCUAGGGGCCACAGCAGUAACAAGACCCACAUGAACCCAUGAGUUUCUGUGCCCUCAGUUUUCUAACUAGUUCAGAAUAUUAGGAACUGACAAUGACCCUAUCACUGAAGCUUUUGAGUGCUGAUAAUAUGAGGGUCAGAAAACUGGUAAGCUGAUCCAUCUAUCUAGAGUCCAUCUGUGCUUGCUGAACUGUAAAGCUGCCCAUUCUUCUUGGUGCUCAUCAACUGACACUCCAAACAUGGACACGUGGCUGAUACUGCAUUCCAUUCAUUCAUUGUCUGAAUUCAAGUUUGUGUUUUUCAUGAAGGCCAAUUAAAUUAACUUUCUUUUUGACACUUCAU